AGAACUGCUGAGCCCAAAUCUUCUUUCAAUCAUCAACUGUGUGAAAAAGAUUGUGUCCGGAACAGGGGGGAUGAAGAACUGGGUAAAAUAGAGGUUGCACUGUGCAGGCCGGCCACUGUCCUACUGGAUGACAGGAUGCCACCUGGCAUGAGACAGGGAACAGGCCUGUGGUGGAGUCAUUCCAGAACUCCUCUCCUCACUUGGGAAUUCUUCAUUUCUUCUUCCUCUUGCCUCCACCUCAUGUUAUUUUCUUCCUUUCCCAUUUACAAAUAAAACUGACCAGAGCCCCAGGAGUAAAUGGUUUUCUAGGACUUACUCCUUGUUCCUAUCCAGGCCCAGGCCCCUGGUUCCUGACUGUCAUUUGCAAACCAAGAAGACCACGAUGAAGAAUUUUUCUAUAUUUUUGGAAUUAUUAAAGCAUUCCUUGUGCAAA